AUUGAAGAGUUUGAUCAUGGCUCAGAUUGAACGCUGGCGGCAGGCCUAACACAUGCAAGUCGAGCGGUAACAGGAAGGAAGCUUGCUUUCUUUGCUGACGAGCGGCGGACGGGUGAGUAAUGCCUGGGAAAUUGCCCUGAUGUGGGGGAUAACCAUUGGAAACGAUGGCUAAUACCGCAUGAUGCCCUUGUUUAUAAUGAACAGGGACCAAAGAGGGGGACCGCAAGGCCUCUCGCGUCAGGAUAUGCCCAGGUGGGAUUAGCUAGUUGGUGAGGUAAUGGCUCACCAAGGCGACGAUCCCUAGCUGGUCUGAGAGGAUGAUCAGCCACACUGGAACUGAGACACGGUCCAGACUCCUACGGGAGGCAGCAGUGGGGAAUAUUGCACAAUGGGCGCAAGCCUGAUGCAGCCAUGCCGCGUGUAUGAAGAAGGCCUUCGGGUUGUAAAGUACUUUCAGUCGUGAGGAAGGGAGUAUCGUUAAUAGCGGUAUUCUUUGACGUUAGCGACAGAAGAAGCACCGGCUAACUCCGUGCCAGCAGCCGCGGUAAUACGGAGGGUGCGAGCGUUAAUCGGAAUUACUGGGCGUAAAGCGCAUGCAGGUGGUUUGUUAAGUCAGAUGUGAAAGCCCGGGGCUCAACCUCGGAGUUGCAUUUGAAACUGGC
rnacentral:rRNA from 1 species